UUUUUAAUUGGAAUCUCGUAUGAAUGGUUGGACAAAAGAACAGCUGUCUUUAAAUUAAAUUUUGAACUUAACUUUUAAGUGAAAAGGCUUAAAUAUUCUAAAGGGACGAUAAGACCCUAUAAAACUUCACAUUGUAGUUAUAUUUUCUUGAAUUUUGAUAUAAAAGUUUAAUUUAAUUAUUUGUUAUAUUGGGGAGAUAUAAGUCAAAUUAAUUUUAACUGCUUAAAAUUGAAACAAUUAUUUAUGAAUAAAAGAUCCUUUAUAAAGAUUAAAAAAUUAAGUUACUUUAGGGAUAACAGCGUUAUUUCUUUAGAGAGUUCUUAUCGAGAAAGAAGAUUGCGACCUCGAUGUUGAAUUAAAAUAUCUAUAUAAUGUAGUAGUUAUAUAAGAAGGUCUGUUCGACCUUUAAAAUUUUAC
rnacentral:rRNA from 1 species